UAGGGAAUCUUCGGCAAUGGGGGGAACCCUGACCGAGCAACGCCGCGUGAGUGAAGAAGGUUUUCGGAUCGUAAAGCUCUGUUGUUAAGGAAGAACGAGUGUGAGAAUGGAAAGUUCAUGCUGUGACGGUACUUAACCAGAAAGGGACGGCUAACUACGUGCCAGCAGCCGCGGUAAUACGUAGGUCCCGAGCGUUGUCCGGAAUUAUUGGGCGUAAAGCGCGCGCAGGUGGUUUAGAAAGUCUGAUGUGAAAGCCCACGGCUCAACCGUGGAGGGUCAUUGGAAAAUAAUAAACUUGAGUGCAGGAGAGAAAAGUGGAAUUCCUAGUGUAGCGGUGAAAUGCGUAGAGAUUAGGAGGAACACCGGUGGCGAAAGCGGCUUUUUGGCCUGCAACUGACACUGAGGCGCGAAAGCGUGGGGAGCAAACAGG
rnacentral:rRNA from 1 species